rnacentral:lncRNA from 1 species
AGGCUGAGCGCAAAGGCAGAGGGAGAGCCGAGUGCAGCAGCAGGCGGGGCCGCCGCGCGGCUUCAUGCGCUGAGCACCCUGAUACCAAGCAAAACCGUGGCAAGGGGAGUCUGGCUGGCAUCCGGGGUGCAUUGAUAGCAUGGCACCCCUGUUCUUGGCCCCUUUGUGUUCACAGGCUCCAACCGGCCUUUGUCUGGGUCCUGGCAGCCUGCUUCGGUACAGAAAGAGGUGGGCAUCUCACCAGCUACCAGGGAUGGGAGUGGAGGCAGAAGCAGAAGCAGAAGCAGAGGUUGCAGCUGGUGAAAGCAGCAGAAUGCACACUGCUCAGCUUCCCCGGGAGGGAAAGGUAAGGAGGAGACCCAGGCCUGCACGCAGCUUUGCCUAUUUCCUGGAAGCCCUUCCCCAAAGCUCACAAUGGCUGGAGAGAAGCAGCUAACCCUGGCCCAGUUCCUAGUCCAGCCAAUGUCUGCUCACUGGACCAGCACAGAAUGUUCUCUUUUAGAUGGCAUCACUUACUCAGAUGCCCUGGGUAAUUGGGAGGCAGAUUAAAAGGUGUGAGAGGAGCCCGUGUGCCAGCUUGCCAGGCAGAGAUACCCAACCUUGCUCUGUGGAAGCUGCCCCUCCCCACAGUGCUACUGAGCCAUUAGUUCAUCACCACCUUCUGUUCAUUUCCCGUGAUCUCACCACCAAGGUGUCCCAGGGGCCUCAGCUUGGGUUCUACACAGGCAACCUUGUCCUGCAGCCCUCUCAGCCCAGAGCCCAGGUCCUCAACUGUCAAAUAAAGGGGUGCCUCCACCUGCAACGUGGAGCCAUCCUGGACUCCACAGUUCAUCUUUCAGAGGCUCAGCUUCACCAGAUCACCAGCCCUGGCCACAUACCCAUUGUCACAGCCUCAUACCCAUCCAGCUUUGAGCCUGCUACUAGCCUGAAAGGGCAUAGAACUAAGCCACUGCCCUAACUUGAAGUGCAAGAAUGGACAGUGUAACCUGGGCAUCAGCCAGAAAGAAAACCUUCCACCAGGUAAGAAACUGGUUUAAACAAACUAAAACAAACAGACCUAAAAUACACCAGGAACUGCACAAUACAAAUGCCAGAAGUAGUGAUUGGUAGCAUUACUGCUUCAUGUUGUCAAUUAUAUCCUCUCCAGUUAGUUUGGGUUUUGCAAUCAGAUAUGCUUUGCAUCAGACUUUUAUUGUCUUGCUUCUGCUGAGACCAGUUGAUUAGAAGACAGUGACAUUUGUCUCAGUGCAGCUCAGGGAGACAUCAGACACAGGAGAGCAGCCUGCAUGGUUCUAAUGCUUGACCUGCUUGACUCAACACAUCCAGGAGUGGUAUGAGCUUUCUGGGGCCCCCUAAGGUGCUAGGCUAUUUCCUGGGUAACUCUGCACGGUCUUCAUCUUCUCUUAGACCUUUCCCCUGGUGAAUUCUCCAAUUCCCAUGCAGAGGCUUUGCCUUUUCAAUGUGUACAACAAGGAAUAAUCAACGGAGAAGCACACACAUGCCUUCCUCCCUGGCUAGAGAGCUGCAGAAGCCCCCAUCAGAACCACUUGUCCUCCCUCCAUCUCUCCAGGUGAUUGAUUCUCCUUUCUAUGUGUCAGUGGGACAUAAGUCCUUUCAUGCUAUUUUUCUCUCCUGAGCCAAGACUCCCUUUGUUAUUGCUGAAUGGACAAACACGGAGCUCAUGUGAACCAAUGGUUGAGUGCCUUACACCUAAUGGGAAGAAGAGCCUUUGAUAAAGCUGCUUUUACAAGACACUCCAGAAAGGGUGAUAUCCAUCGUGGACUGGCUCAUCAGAACACACAUGCAAAGCUCCAUAUGAUGCUGCAAUUCAUUUCUUAAGUGUUAGCCAUUUUUCCCCGUUUCCUCCUUAAAAAAAUAGAAGUGCAAAAAGGAAAAAAAAAUCCUUCAUCAGGGGCAUACACACAUUGUCUCUUCACUGAAUCACCCUCUUUAUUCAUUCAAUAACAAUCUGAUUGAUUUCCAUUGAUCUGGGUAAGAAUGGACCGAGUGAGGUAUUAUUAUAGGGAAAAAAAUCCUCUUAAGUUGCUUUUGUAUGACAGUCCAAUUAAAAGGCAUCUUCCAAGGACAGGGAGAUUCUCAGCGAAUUAUGGCAAGUGCUCAAGUCCAUACAAACCUGUGUAACUUGUGAUUUGGCACCUUGAAUCGUUGCCUGGUUUGGAAUAUUUUUUUUUCAGUAUGGAACAAUAAACUGAUUAUUUUACAUUUGAAAAAGUCAGUUUCAAAUAUUUGGGUUUUUUUUUUUUAAAUCUGCAAACAGAGAACCUGGAAAGGAUUACAAAUUCCUUCCUGGAAAACAUGUAUCCCUUCCUGCCGUCCUUCCACCCUCUGAUAAAUAACAUGAGCACGCAGCGAUUUGCCAACAGCAGCUCCAGGCAUGAGGCACAACAUCUGUUACCGAGACACUGGAGAGACAGUGGAAAGCAAGUUGGCUGCCUGCCCACCCUCAGACUCCAGAUUUUUGCUGACAAGGCUGUCAAUAAAUGGGCAGAUGGCAUCAGCUCUGCUGGCAGGAGAGUUGGGCUAACCCAACACAGGACAUUAUCUCAAAUUCAUGGUGCACUGGGCUGAGCCCUUUGUUGGGCCAUUAGAGCCAUUCCUUGAUAGAGAAGGGAUAGCAGGACUAGGAACUCGGGAGGCACUCGUUUCGUUUAAUUAGAUUAACUAAGCCUCCCACAAUUGGCAGUCAGAAUAAGAUUAGCCCCUGUGAC